CCCCAAAAAACCAUGACACGUGCUUUUUUCAAAUGCCCGCGCCAACGUCCACAUCCCACACGUUUAAUUUCCUGCGAAUGUGAGGAGAAGUUCAGAUUUGAAAGGGCAGAAAACCGAAAUUAUUCAAGAUUUUCUCCAUGAUAACGAGCAGAGAAGAAUUCUAACUUCUGCUGAAUAUGUGGCGUUGUUUUUUCGUGGAGAUUGCAGGUUACAUGGGUGGAGCAUGCAGAAUAUGAUAAUAUUGAGGUGCACAGGAAAAGGAUUGCAUUCCUCGCAGCAACAAACACUCCUAUUCCUGCCAUAAAUAUCACUGCAGCUGGAGCAUGAUGAAGCUUGCUAAGAGGAUGACAAAUAAAUUCUGUGGUGGAGUGAGUGCAUCUAGUGGGCACUCGUAAACUAAACUAUCUUAUGGUAAUUGUAAUGGUAAUGGUAAGGAUGAUAUCCAUGUAAUGACAAGGAAGAAUGUUGAUGGCCCUGGAGAGCCUAUGGAUGUAAUUCUCAGUGCAACAACAUCUAUAUGGGUUCCUGUUUCUCCAAAUUGAUUGUUUGAGUUCUUAAUAGAUGAGAGACUAAAAAAUGAGGUAUGGCCAGACCAAAUAUUUCUCUUACAAAUUCCAAAGUUAUCAAAUUGAAGUUCUCUCUGUGAUCUUGAGAAAAUAAGUCAUAUCAAUAUCCAAAAAUGACCAAAACAAUUCAGUGAGACUAAAUAAGUUUCUGGCACUUUUUGUUGUGUAUUAUACUUUUCAA